AAUAGCAACACAUUAAUUCAGCCUGCGCUGGGGUUGGCUUGGCGGGGGUGACUAUUUGUAUCAAUCCAUAACCCCUCCUCUGAUUCUAAGCAAUAAUACAGUCAUCUCUCUCUCUCUCUCUCCCUCACUCUCUCUCUCUCAAGGACGAGCUGAUCACGACUCACGGCUAUUUUUGGAAAGAGAGAGAGGGAGAGAGAGAGGGGGAGAAAAAAGAUAGGUGGGUGUGAUAAGAGACGCCCGCACCUCUGCUCUCCUCUCUGCUGGCUGGCUGAGAAACAGAAACAGCACCGCGGGGAUAAAAAUAGCAAAAGAGCGGUCAUCCAGCCCAGCCAGCACUGGAGUGGGAGGAGAGGCAAAACUCUAAACCUAGUUAACGGCCAUCAAAAAAGGCCCGGCCAUUGGCCACAGUGGACCAGCGCUGUCACUGUGGAGUGGCUUCCCUAGCCAUUCAUUCAUUUUUACAAACAAAACCCCAACAACACACAGGCAUAUAGCUAGCAGUGUAUUCAUUCAUUCAUUCAUUGUAAUCGAGAAAGAACCGCUCACUGGAGUGAUAUACAACAUCAGAGAAGCUGAUUUCCCCUGCAAGUCCAUUUUAGCCUGUACCACGGUCAUAGUGAUGAGAUAUACCAGCUGGCCACUGAAACUGCAUCAUCUUGUCUGUCCCUUGAAGCCCCAGAUCAUGCACUCAUAGAGCAGAGGCUCAUGUGCAAUUUUUGGUUAUUUUACUCCUUGCUCCAUAAUGCACCUCUAAUUUCCAUAAAAUACAAACCAUUCUUAUGCAGUGAUGGCAAGCAGUGAGCUUUGUGGCCAGAAGUGUAAAUCUUAAACUGCGAAUGCCAUCUACUGGUUAUUUAAGAGACCUGCAUAUAAUAGAAAACUUGGUUGCAUCAUCCCUGAAACAGCACAGGCAGAGAUCUGCAGACAAUGAGAGCAGGGAAUAACUGAACCAGUUAAAGAGAAGUGACAUUCAAGAAGCUGCAAUAGGCUGCAUGAACAGCAGGUGGCGGAGGGAACACUAUCUGGAGGAAAACCUGUUGCAGAACAUCGAUAAACUAUAGUGCCGCUUAUGCAACAUGCUGCAGAUUCCAUGGGAAAGACAAUCAAACCACAGCAGCAUACAGAGAAGAGCACCCAGCAGAUUCACAUGUGAGGGACUGAAUGCAUAAAUUCAAGGAACAACCCUGCAGAGCCCUACAAUCCUCACUUUUUGAUUAAUGAGGAGGAAGCUGAGAUAGUGGAUGGAGAAACACCAGCUUAGCCAGAAACAGAAGUUACUGUGUUGCACAGUAGAAGCUGUGGGGAACAAAGGGAAAAUGGCAGUUUAAAUAAGCCAGCUUGCUGAAAUGGCAGAAUGUACUUGGUGUCAGUUCAGUCAGAGAUCAACUAAUAAGUUGAACAUAACUCAUGAGUCUGUACGAGCUUUGUUAAAUGGAUUAAAACGUUUUAAGGCACUCUUUGCUGCAUACACCCAGAAUGCACUGUAUAUUAUUCCUACAUCUUUAAUGUGUAAUUCAUGCAUCUUAAAUUAUCUAUACGAUUCUCAGUAAUCUAUUGUAGUAUCUCAUUUCAUGUUUCAUAUGUGAAUGUGUAACUGCUACAGUUCUUCCAUGCU